UUUUUUUUUUUUUUGUCUUUUUUGCCAUUUCUUGGGCCGCUCUCGCGGCAUAUGGAGGUUCCCAGGUCAGGGGUCGAAUCGGAGCCAUAGCCACUGGCCUACGCCAGAGCCACAGCAACGCAUAUCAACUAUUUUUAAACUGAGCUACACACCGACCAUCACUGAUGCAAUGAUAGGUAUAGAUCUUGCAAAUAAUAUUGUCAGAGAAAUUACAACCCUGUAUGAAUACUACAUUUCUUCAAACAUUUAAAACUGUCCAUUAUAUGCAUGUGGUAGUAGUCAUACUUAAUAAAGAAAAUGAGACUUUUUCAAGCCUGGCUUUCUGGUUACACUUAGAUAUUUAACUUCUGUAUACUCUUAAGGUUCCUUCACUUCAACAUCCACCAUGACAAUGCUGAAGCUCUAGAAAACCCUAACAAAGCCUUCAGGCCUAGCUUUGUAAACCUCUGGUGCAAUGGAAAGUAAGGCAGAGGUAUUAAAAACUUAUAAAAGAAAGUUCCUUGUUGUUAUGGUAACCUAGUUCCUAAAGACUCAAAGAAAGAACUAUUUAACUAUUUUCUUUGAUUCACCUGGGUCCUGUUUUUGCAUUGGUGAUAUUUAGAUGAUUAAAUGUUUUUGAGAGUGAAUCACUUGCUAUAAGCAAGUAGAGAUUUGAUUUUCAUUUUUAGUCUAUAGAAGCAGAUUGUGGGCACACAAAUCCACCUUCAAUUAAUUCAUGGAGGCAAUAUGCAGUGUGUCAUAGUGUGUCGUAGAGUUUCAUCACUCAUUCAGAAUGCUCCUUCCAUAUGUUCUUUCCUCUUAAAAUGUCCCAAACAUGAUACCUUUUUUGACUAUUUAAUUUGCUUCUAAUGGUUUCACACUGAAUCAUAUCAUUUGCCCAGAGUUUACAGGGAAGAGUUGUAGUCAUUCAAUACCAAUGUUCAAAACAAACAAUAACAUAAAAAUGAAGCACUGAUUUACUGUUAAACAUAAUCUAAAAUUCCAGUAUUUAAAAAUAACAAACUAUAGUACUUUUUUAUAAUUCACCAUUGGUUACCGUACAGUAACAUAUGUACUGUAGGAAAUAUUUAAUUUUGAUAUACCAAUUGGAAAUACAUAUAUAUCUGCAUAUGUGUAUAUAUGUAUACAUACUAUUCUGUCUAAAAACAUUUCUAAAUAUCACCAUUUUUUCUCUUUCAAAAUAUAUGAGUUUUUAUUCUACUUGGGAUCAUCAGUCCCACACAGUCUAUGAGUGACUCAGAAGGAAAUGUUUUCACUGAUUCCACAUUUAUUUCUAUUGACUUUUUUAAACAGGAUUUUUAAAAAUUAAAGUGUAGUUGAUUUACAUUUCUUCAAUUUUUAUUUUAUAGCAAAGUGACCCAAUCACACACAGUUCCCUGUGAUGUACAGUACGACCCCACUGCCCAUCUUUUUCAAAUGUUAACAGUUUGCAUCCACCAACCAAACUCCCCAUCCAUCCCACUCCCUCCCCACUAACCCCAGGCACCACAAGUCUGUUCUCCUUGGCCAUUAUCUGUUUCUAUUUUGUAGACAGGAUCACCUGUGCCAUAUUUUAGAUUCCACAAAUAAGUGAUAAAUAUCACAAUUAACUGCAUAAAAUUGCCUUAAAACUUGAAGUGCAUUAUGAGUUACUACACCUAUACUAUAGUAAUUGUACAUACAUAAUAUUUUUAAAAUACUUGGUAUGUAAAUACCUCCAUAGCAAAUGAUACAUCGGCAUGUUGAAAAGACAAUCAUUAUCCAAAAUGUACAUUUUGUUUCUUUUCUGUAUGAAUAUACAUAUAACGCUUCAUAAGUACCUAGAAAAUGUUUAAUUUUUAAUUAUUAUAAAGAGUGUAUAAAGGCUGUCCCAGAGUAAUAAAUGUUGGUGAAAUUUAAGAAGAAAUAUAUUAAAUUUAUUUAUGGUAUUUUUACCCAUUCUAUCCCAUUGGGCUAAAUAUCUAUGCAUGUUUCCUUGAGAAAGGAAUAAUAAUAUAGCAGUAUUUUAUCAUUCUAUACUGUUUGUGCUUAUAUCUCCCACUUUACACUGUGAGCUCUUUGAGAACAGGGAUCACAUUUUAGGCAUUCUGAUCAUCCCAGCAAUGGAGCUAGGCUAUAAAUAAUUAUUGAAUUAAUAAAUGGUAAUAAAUGCACAGCACUUACCACAAUCUACUGUGUGUUAUUAUCACUUAUGUAUAUGUCUAAUGACCACUUCCUUUACUCACUAAAAAAUAAAAUGCUUGAGAAACGCAGGUCUGUUCUACAAAUACCUGGAUACCUUUCUCCCUGGCACACUACUUAGAUGUUUAGUAAAUAUUAAAUUUUAAAGAUGUGCAAAGUUUAGGAGUAAUAAGAGUACAAGCCAGAAUAUUUCCUAUCAUUGUUUCAAUAGCCUUUUAAAGAUAGUAACAAUUACUUCCUUUUCUGUAUUUUUCUUCUCAGUUACAGUGGAGAAAUUUUGUCCUCCAAGACAUAAGGCUUUUGAUGCACAUGGCUCUACUCUCCAAGAUGAGCUUCUUUCUGAGGUUAAUAUUUCUUGUCCUUUCUUUGAGAGAUGGAUUUGAAAGGCCUUACAGAUACAAUGGAUACUACUCUAUCUUGAAACCUCAGGAAUAUUCCCCAAAUAGACUAUAAGUCCAUUGGUAUCAGUAGAGAUUUAAGUGUAAUAUAAGGUUGUAAGGUUAGUACUCACCUUUAAUUAUCCUGUUCAGAAAUUCUCUUUUAAUAAUACACCUUACAACUGAACCAUCUUGGCAUAUAUUAUCAGUAGAAUACUUUAAUAUUAUAGUUAAAAUUUUAAAUGGAAUUUUAUACAAUUCCCUGUUUAAAAAAUAUUUUAAAACAGACUACUAUGACAAGUAUGAAAUUUCGCAGUUGAAGCUGCAAUGUCAUACUGACCUUUGAAACUUGGGAGGCUUAUUUAUAAAAGAACAUUAUCAUCAUCAUAAAGUUAAAAUAAUAGCAACCAUUAAAUUCUUUUAGAAUUCAUAUUGGAUUACCAACAUGUAAUUCCUGACAUUAAGAAAGACUUUGGAUAUUCAGACACGAAUCCAACACUGUUAGCUAUAGUUAAGAAUCAAACAAAGGAUUUUAUUUCCAGUUCAAAACUCACAAAGCCUUACAAACAGGUCAAGCAGACUCUAAUAUAGUACAUCUGCUCCUGUGGUUGCUCCACUUUUUUAGAUAAAAUGUCAUUCAAACAGUGUUUUCCCUAUUCCCACAUGAGUUCUCAGACUAUUCAGAAAACUGAUGGGGAGAAAGAUCACUUAUUCAUGAAAGCAGGGUUUCUUUGGUCAUCCUAGAUUUGACUGGCAUUAGCAGCAACUAUGUCUGACUCCAAAGAUUUAAAUAUUCAUUAUAGCAUAAUCAUGGCAUUUAAAUAUCUAAGCAUUAGAAGUUUCAAAGUAAUUCUCAUUUUGGAAUGAACGUAGCCUAUUUUACAUAGAUGACCUAACAUAAUGACAAGGCAUUACAUUCCUGAUAACUGUACUACUUGGCAGAUUAAAAUAUAGAAUACUUAGAAUUCUGAUAAAAUAUUCUACCAAAGGUUUCUUAGAUUAUUAACCAACUUUAUCCAAAAACUGAUAAAUAAGAAACAGCUCCUUACAAUUACUGUAUGUAUAUGCCUCCCUUUGAAUGAAUUAAAUCUCCCUACAAUUACAGGCAUAAAUCAAAAUUUUAUGACUCAAUCACUAUAUAUAAAAUCACAGAUAAUUCAAUCAUUCUAGGAGAAUGCUUUCAUAAACUGCUCCCCUCUCCAAAGAACUAUAGUACAGAUAUACAUGCGGGGUAGAGGUACACACACACAAAUAAAUAAAUAUUUCCAUGCAUUCCACUUGCUGAAAUCUGUACAUAACAGAUACAGCACAUUCAACUGAAAUAUAUAAAAUAUUAUAAUAUAAAACAUCACUCUACUUUCUAUGUUAUUACUGGGAAGAAAUAAUCUUUUAUAGAUUGUAGGAGUUUUGACAGUGAAUCCAAGCUGAAGUUUAAAUUUUAGUGAUAAAACUCCAAUUGAGCUUAUUAUUAAAAACAAGCAGUAAAAUAACCCCCCAAAAUGUUAAACUUCUAUAUCAAUUUAGUUUAUGGAAGAAAUGUAUCCUUAAAAACAGCUUCAUUGAGCUAUAAUUGUCAUACAAAUAUAAAUGUCAUGCAUAGUUAAUGGGUACAAUUUGAUAAGUGCUAGCACAUGCAUACACACAGGAAACGAUCACUACAAUAAAAACAACUGCAAUAAAAAUAAUGAACAUAUACAUAUCACACCCAACAGUUUCCUUAAAGCCUGCUAUAAUCUCGCCCUUUCCACCUCACCACUACCACUGUCUUUAAGUAACCAUACAUCUGUUGUCUUUCACUAUAAAUUCAUCUGCAUUUUCUAAGAUGUCACAGAAAUGGAGUAACAGAAUGUACCCUUUUUCUGUCUGGCUUCUUUCACUCAGCAUGAUCAUUCUGAGAUUCAUCCAUAUUGUUACAUGUAUCAACACUUCAUUCCUUUUUAUUAUUAACUUGUAUUCCAUAUAUAGAUAAAUCAUUUAAAAAAAUCAAUUCACCUAUUCAUAAAUAUUUGGCCUGUUUCCAGUUUUCAGUUAUUACAAAUAAAGCUUAUGUGUUUAUUUGUGUACAGCUCUGCAUGGACAUAUGCUUUCAUUUCUCCAGGAGUAGAAAGGCUGUAUUAUAACUGGGUGCAUUUUGAACUUCUUAAGAAACUUACAUACUGUCUUCUAACAUGGCUGUACUAUUUCACAUCCCUAUAAUCAGUUGGUCCUUACAGGCUCUGUGUUAAUUUAGUCAGGGUGUAUGCAUAUUUAUUAGGAAAGAAGUAUCCCUUCUCUAUCCUAUGUUUACUAUACAUGAUGAAGUCCAUUCACUGGAAAUAAAUACUAUUCCAAGUAAGUAUAAAAGUGGCUUUUUCCUCCCCUCUCACAAGUUGUGACAAAGAAAAAUACAUAAAUAAGAAGAGCUAACAUUUACUGAGUGCUCAUCAUGUACCGUUCUCUAAGUGGUUAAUAUCUAUUAUAUCAUAUAAGCACCUACAAUAAGCCUAUGGGGAAAGGUACUAAAACUGAAUUCAACUUGUAGAUGAGGAAACUGAAGGGAUACAUAAGUUGACCAUGGUCACAAAAGUAAGUGGCAGAGCUAGGCUUUGAACCUGGCAGUCUGAGCCCAGGGUUUAGAUUCUUAAUCACCAUAUAACACUGCCUCCCGUCAUCUACACAUUACUAAAUAGUUAUAAUUUAUACUACAAAGCUAUGAACUAUCCCUCAGAUUACUGCAUGACUUCAGUCAAUUUCCAAUGGGAUAAAUUGAUUCUUCUCCAUAAUUCUGUCCAGCUUUAUCAUUACUAUUUGGAGGAAAGGGUUCACUGAUCCUCAUAUAUGAAUAAUAGCCAGAAAUUGUGUCUCCAAAACUGUAUCUCUAAACAUACACUUAACUUUUAUUAAUAAUUUCCUUUCAUUGGUCAUUAUUUUCACAAUUUACAUAUAUUUGUUCUACUAGAAAAUUUGUCAGUGAUCUUGAUGGUUC
ensembl:lncRNA